AUGCGGUCGUUGGAGUGAGAGUUCGCUGCCUACUUUUUGGUAGCUCUUCGCUUCUAAUUGAGAGAAUGACUGACAAACCAUGGCUUCAAAGUGAAAGAACGACCAAUCAAUUUUAAUGUAACAGGUUAUAAGAAUUUCACUGAUACAGUUCCGGAUUACACAUUGCAACAAACAUGAUCUGUCUUUGAAUCAUUUACAGAGUGACCUGAACACCUUCCUGGUUUGAGAAGAUUAGAAGAAGAAUCUCUAUCAGGACCAGUCUUCAGCCAUAGGGGUUCUGCUUCUCGGCUUCUAUAAACAACCAGACAAAUAGUGACGGCCAAAGAAACUGUAGGGAAUUCAUAGAAUUUGUAAAAACUUGAA
rnacentral:lncRNA from 10 species